AAAACACAACAGCCAAACAAAUGUCCAAGUGCAAACAAAUUCAACACAAAAAUGCAGCACCAACAAGAACAAAUGCUGCCCACCAAAAACAAGAAAUACACAGCAGCUAUAAACCAGAAAUUACAUGACAGCAAGCAAGAACAGAGGAGCCCAACAACCCGCAACUAAAACAGAGCAGACCCAAAUUGCAGAUGACCAUCAACCAACUUCAGAAUUCCAAGAAGUCUCAAUGACAGAGCGGCAAUGUAGCAACAAAGAAAGAACCACAUUAAGGACCAAACAAAAUCCACAAUAUGCUACCCAAACCCAAGCCACACAUAACUCAAAUUAGAGAAAAACAAUGAGAUCAACAGCCCGAAAGACACCCUGCUUCGCUAAAGAAUCCGCAAUAGAGUUAGCUUCCCUAAGAGUCUGAGUAAAAAUCACAGAGGGCAAGCUAUGCAAGCAGGCAACAAUGGAGUUCAUAAUGGAAUUGGCUCUCCAAGGAGCUGAACUGAUGUGCUUAACCCAAGAAAUUGCAGUCUUCGAAUCCCAUUCGACAAUAAUUUCUUCAAUACCAUGAGCUCCUCGGAUGCUGGAGGAAAGUUCCAAAGCUUUAGAGGUUGCUUUUAAUUCUGCAAUGUUAGAAUCACAAACACCCACAGCACAUGAGAAAACACAGAAAAUUCCCAUUAGCAUCACUUGAAAAGCAAAGCUUGAGCACUGGUAGACCUGAAAGGUGUUGUGAAGUCAAUAAGCUUCUUUCUUUGAAAGGCAAAGCUUGAGCACUUUCAGGCUUCUAGUCUUUUGGUUGGAAGCAGGAGAGCAUGACUUCGGUGGAUUGAAAAGGCUACUAGGAACUGAUUCUAGUAAAACCUCAUCCCUCCUUUUAUCCGCAUUUUGCAGUUUGUACCUUAAUAAAGUGGAAUUUGUCAGCACUAUAAAAAUCUUUCAAUUAAGUGUAUGAAUGGAUUCUCCCCCAAAUUGAUACCAGCAAUUGGUGCUACAUGCAUUUAGGUGAUCCUUUCAAGGUGACGAU
rnacentral:misc_RNA from 1 species